rnacentral:rRNA from 1 species
CUGCCCUGUAAGACUGGGAUAACUCCGGGAAACCCGGGGCUAAUACCGGAUAGUUCUUUCCCCCGCAUGGGGGAGAGUGGAAAGGCGGCUUCGGCUGCCACUUACAGAUGNACCCGCGGCGCAUUAGCUAGUUGGUGAGGUAACGGCUCACCAAGGCGACGAUGCGUAGCCGACCUGAGAGGGUGAUCGGCCACACUGGGACUGAGACACGGCCCAGACUCCUACGGGAGGCAGCAGUAGGGAAUCUUCCGCAAUGGACGAAAGUCUGACGGAGCAACGCCGCGUGAGUGAUGAAGGUUUUCGGAUCGUAAAGCUCUGUUGUUAGGGAAGAACAAGUGCCGUUCGAAUAGGGCGGCACCUUGACGGUACCUAACCAGAAAGCCACGGCUAACUACGUGCCAGCAGCCGCGGUAAUACGUAGGUGGCAAGCGUUGUCCGGAAUUAUUGGGCGUAAAGCGCGCGCAGGCGGUCUCUUAAGUCUGAUGUGAAAGCCCACGGCUCAACCGUGGAGGGUCAUUGGAAACUGGGGGACUUGAGUACAGAAGAGGAAAGUGGAAUUCCACGUGUAGCGGUGAAAUGCGUAGAUAUGUGGAGGAACACCAGUGGCGAAGGCGACUUUCUGGUCUGUAACUGACGCUGAGGCGCGAAAGCGUGGGGAGCAAACAG